UCAAGCCAGGGAUUUAGCUCAGUGUAAAUUUUUGGCUGAUAAGAGAAUUUCUUCUUUGGAAUAGUUGAAGCUAACUGUUAAUUAUUUGAUUGUAACUUCUAUAUUAUAGGAAGCUAUUAGACUUAAUCAGGCCUGAAGAACAAAUACCUGAUGAUAUAAUUCAUUUAUUCAUUGAUUAAUUCAACAAAUGUAUAUAGAAGUCUCCCUAAACAUUACCUUUGGCUUUGGUAGCCAUUGUGUAACAAAGUGCAUAUAGUUCCUGCCCUUCUGAGGUUUGUAUUGUGUACUUCUGGGACAUUUACACUGAAUAAGUAAUUAGAAAUGUGAUGAGUAUUUUGAAAUAUAAAGUGCUAUGGAAGCCUAUAAAAAGGACACUUAAUUUAGUCUGGUGGGAAGUAAUGUUAAAGCCCAGUUGAAGGAUGAACAGGAUUUAAUUGUUCAUAGUAGGAAAGUGAAGUGUUUUUCUUUAUGCAUGUAUUUCCAGAGUUGUGAGUUUUGCCUUGAUUUGAGUAAGUUUGUUUUUUAUAAUUUAAUAUAGAGAUAGUUUUAUCAGAGAUACUCUUUUGGCCAAGGAUUAGACAGUUGUGAAAUUAAAUUUUUUUUUUAUGCUGGGGAUCAACCCAAGGCCUUGCACAUGCUAGGCAUGUACUCUGCAACUGAACUGCACCUCUUCCCCUUGAGAUGCAUUUUUAAAUUGAGAAUUAGCAUCUGCAUUCAAACAAGUAUAAUGGUGGCUUCCUUGUGGAUUUUAGUCAGAGUUGAAGUAAUAUUCCUUUAUGAGGAUGUGUUCGUGAAAAGAGGAGAUACAGCACUUGAUCUUAGCCAAAAGGCCGAGAAGUGAUAAAGAGGAGAUACAGAACCAGCACCAAGGAAGAGAUGAGGAAUAAAUGGAAUAGCAAGAGAUACUUCAAAUCUUUUUAAUUGAGGUUCCUGACUUUCCAUGAUGUUCGGUGGCUAUGAGACUAUAGAAGCAUAUGAAGAUGAUCUUUAUCGUGAAGAAUCAUCUAGUGAACUAAGUGUUGAUAGUGAGGUGGAAUUUCAGCUCUACAGCCAAGUUCAUUAUGCCCAAGAUCUUGGUAAUACUAUCAGAGAGGAAGGACAUGAGGAAAAGAACCCUGGGAAUUCUGAAUUGAGUACUAAACCACAUCAGAAUUUAAUUGUCCUUUCAGAUAGUGAGGUCAUCCAACUAUCAGACGGGUCAGAUGUCAUCGCUUUGUCUGAUGAAGAUAGUAUUUAUAGAUGUAAAAGAAAGAAUAUUAGAGUGCAAGCACAAAAAAAGACCAGAGCACCCCCUGCUUCUCCUUAUUCUGAUGAGUUGACUGAUAAGAAAUCCAAACGAAAAAUUGAGAAGCCUAAACCUGAAGAAAGAUCAGGUGUGAUCCGAGAGGUCAUGAUUAUAGAGGUCAGUUCAAGUGAAGAGGAAGAAAGCAUCAUUUCUGAAAGUGAAAAUGUGGAAAGCUGGAUGCUACUAGGGUGUGAAGUAGAUGAGAAAGAUGAUGAUAUCCUUCUCAACAUUGUGGGAUGUGAAAACUCUGUCACUGAAGGACAAUGUGACCGAGUGUCAUUAAGGUUUUAG
rnacentral:lncRNA from 1 species